rnacentral:lncRNA from 1 species
UUUACUUGCAAUGCAACAGCUCUUUUAUUUGAGUAGAAAGCUGUAAAGCAGGGCUUUUAUAGAGGCUUCCUUUGGGAACUGAGCCUCGCAAGCAUGUUCAUGUCCAUGUGCUGCCAAGGAGGGCUGGAGACUUCAGCAGGAACGAUGAUGUCUACGAGGAGCUGCAGCACCACGACAAAGAUGAUUCCCCUGACAAGUGGAGGACAGAAGAAGAAAUGGCAGCUGAAGCAGAAAUUCUGAAGAAGUAUUUCCAGGAAAAUUAAAGGUAAUGAUCUGAACAUUGACUUAGUCCUGCAGCACCCAAGCCUUUGCUGAAGCCUCCAGAGGCUUGUUGAAGACAACAGGGCAAGUAUCUAGAAUGAAACAAAAGAAAACAAAGCUCUUAGUUUUGUGUAGUUUCC